rnacentral:rRNA from 1 species
GGACCCGCACAAGCGGUGGAUGAUGUGGAUUAAUUCGAUGCAACGCGAAAAACCUUACCUACCCUUGACAUGUCUGGAAUCCCGAAGAGAUUUGGGAGUGCUCGCAAGAGAACCGGAACACAGGUGCUGCAUGGCUGUCGUCAGCUCGUGUCGUGAGAUGUUGGGUUAAGUCCCGCAACGAGCGCAACCCUUGCCAUUAGUUGCUACAUUCAGUUGGGCACUCUAAUGGGACUGCCGGUGACAAACCGGAGGAAGGUGGGGAUGACGUCAAGUCCUCAUGGCCCUUAUGGGUAGGGCUUCACACGUCAUACAAUGGUCGGGACAGAGGGUUGCCAAGCCGCGAGGUGGAGCCAAUCUCAGAAACCCGAUCGUAGUCCGGAUCGCAGUCUGCAACUCGACUGCGUGAAGUCGGAAUCGCUAGUAAUCGCGGAUCAGCAUGUCGCGGUGAAUACGUUCCCGGGUCUUGUACACACCGCCCGUCACACCAUGGGAGUGGGUUUCACCAGAAGUAGGUAGCCUAACCGCAAGGGGGGCGCUUACCACGGUGAGAUUCAUGACUGGGGUGAAGUCGUAACAAGGUAGCCGUAUCGGAAGGUGCGGCU